UUUAAACACGUGUAGCUAGGGUAUUGGUUUUGUGAUAAUGAGAGGAGAAGAAAAAUCGAAGUCGACGAACGGUGAAGGAUGAAAUCACGCAAUCGAUGUAUGCUUUUGGGGAGCAAGACGUAGAAGAACGGAAGACCGACGAGUCCGGUCAGGGAAAGAGAUGUCUCCAGUGAAGCCAUGGCCGCCGCCGUCAAACGAUGCGAUGAGGAGGAAAUCGAGGAGGAUUUCAUGGCGGUUGUGGGUCACCGACAACCUCACCGGCCUAAGAAACGGCCAAGGACCGUUCAGAAGAAACUCCAUAGCUUGCAUCCUGCGUUUUCUCGUCUUCAUAGAGCACAUGUUCAAGGUGCAGAGUUCUAAAAAAUUUCAGAAAAACUGGAGAAGGGACCUCUAGAGCAAUGGAACCACACUUACCACGAAGUUUCAAGGUUUCUAGAGCAAUGGAGCCACACUUACCACGCCUACUACCUUGUUUCCAUUGUGGUUGAUAGAGAGAUAGCUCUGGAGCAGAGGGUUGUACGGAGACGACCUAGAAAAGAGUCUGCGACAAAAGCAGAAAGGAGCGGAAGCAACGACGCCGUUACAUACCUAAGAUCACGAUUCACAAUAUUCUGCACAAACCCACAAACCAAAACUUCUAAUUUUAUGAUUCUCUGUAAAACUCACAAACCAUGGCUUGAUGAUUAUAAGGUGGAAGAAACCAAGGUAUGAUUAUCAUGAUCCUCACCAUCAUCAAGGAUUUGUUGUUAUGCUUUGAAAGAGUUCUGAAGAUCUUUGCUAAAUUUUUCUUCACUGGCUGUUCAGUAGGUUAGGUGCAGUGCUUGUAGUCUUGUUGUUAUGUUGUGUACGACGGGAUAUAUUUAUGAUGAAGUGUAGAGUCACAUGCUUGUAGUCUUGUUGUGAACAUGUUGUGUUGUAUCACGGGAUGUAUUUGUGAUGAAGUGUUAAGUCACAAAAUCUUUAUAAAUAAUGUGUUCAAAACAUUGUUUUCAAUCACAAACCACAAUCUGAAACAUUUCUUUCAUCACAAACUCUUGUUCUCUUUCAUGUUCUUCCCUUUAUUUAUCAAUCACAAUCAACAAUCUUAAAUAUUUCUUUCAUAACAUUUUUUUCAAGAACCCUUACCUUAAGAAACUACCAUUGGAUGACUAAAAUUAGUUGUUUCUUAACAUAAUCUCUUAACUUAAUUUUAAUAUUUAAAUAUUGACUAAGAACCCAUUUAAAGAUUACCCCCAAUAAACAUACUGUAAGUCCAAAAAGAAUAGCUAAAACGAACAUUCUCUCUGGUUGCUUCCGUCGCUUCUCCGUUUAGCCGACUCCGGCUGCUCACUUAGAGCCGGAGUCGGAAUCUGUCUCUCUUUGUCUUCCAUGCUCUCUUUUUUGGAUCUUAUUCUCUCAACGGAUUUGACUUCCUUCUAGAUUUCAAUCUAGCGUUUUGUCAUUUCCGGAGAGAAUAAGAGAGUUUGCCGAGCAUCUGAUGCAUGCAUUAACUAGUCAACUUUGCUUUCACCUUCUCUUCACUCAGAUCCGCUUUUGUUUCGAAUCCAGUAACUGAUCGAAGAACAUGCAUGACUGAUUUCAAAGCCCUUUGGUUCAUCUCAGUAUCGAUCUUCUUCUUUCUCGGUCCUUCGAGAGUGUUUGAAUCUGGUGAUGUUAUGUUUCGCUCUUUGUCAUUAAUCAAUAGAUCUGAUCGAGAUCUUCCUCUAUUCAAGCUUCUUUCUGGUUUCUCAAGUCGAUUUCUUACCGUCAUAGCCGUCUCCGGUUGAAGACUUCCAAUCAUGAAGUGAUUAUGUCUUACUGGUGUUUGAAGCUUUGUUCUUAAAUUGUUUGGGCUAUUCACUAUAGGAUGAUUCACAAGUCGUGGGUUUGGCCAAGAUUGCUUCUACGAUUUGUCUUUGUUCAAAGGUGUUUUGUCGAUGUCUCUUGCAUGUUUGUUUCUUUGAAGUUUCUGGAUUUCAUUUGAUCUGUUUUUAGGUUGUACUAGUUAUGACAGUGACAAAAAAAAAGGUUGUACUAGUUAUGGAGUUUGUUUAUGUCUUUCAUGUACACUCCCAUCUGUGGGCUUAAUU